GAUGAACGCUGGCGGCGUGCCUAAUACAUGCAAGUCGAGCGAACAGACGAGGAGCUUGCUCCUCUGACGUUAGCGGCGGACGGGUGAGUAACACGUGGAGAACCUACCUAUAAGACUGGGAUAACUUCGGGAAACCGGAGCUAAUACCGGAUAAUAUAUUGAACCGCAUGGUUCAAUAGUGAAAGACGGUUUUGCUGUCACUUAUAGAUGGAUCCGCGCCGCAUUAGCUAGUUGGUAAGGUAACGGCUUACCAAGGCGACGAUGCGUAGCCGACCUGAGAGGGUGAUAGGCCACACUGGAACUGAGACACGGUCCAGACUCCUACGGGAGGCAGCAGUAGGGAAUCUUCCGCAAUGGGCGAAAGCCUGACGGAGCAACGCCGCGUGAGUGAUGAAGGUCUUCGGAUCGUAAAACUCUGUUAUUAGGGAAGAACAAAUGUGUAAGUAACUAUGCACGUCUUGACGGUACCUAAUCAGAAAGCCACGGCUAACUACGUG
rnacentral:rRNA from 1 species